AGCGAACGCUGGCGGCAGGCCUAACACAUGCAAGUCGAACGAACCUUUCGGGGUUAGUGGCGGACGGGGGAGUAACACGUGGGAACGUGCCUUUAGGUUCGGAAUAACUCAGGGAAACUUGUGCUAAUACCGAAUGUGCCCUUCGGGGGAAAGAUCUAUCGCCUAUAGAGCGGCCCGCGUCUGAUUAGCUAGUUGGUUGGGGUAAUGGCUCACCAAGGCGACGAUCAGUAGCUGGUCUGAGCGGAUGAUCAGCCACAUUGGGACUGAGACACGGACCAAAAUCCGACGGGAGGCAGCAGUGGGGAAUCUUGCGCAAUGGGCGAAAGCCUGACGCAGCCAUGCCGCGUGAAUGAUGAAGGUCUUAGGAUUGUAAAAUUCUUUCACCGGGGACGAUAAUGACGGUACCCGGAGAAGAAGCCCCGGCUAACUUCGUG
rnacentral:rRNA from 1 species